UCCUUGUUCAUAAUAAUCGUUUAUUAUCCAUGCUAGAAUCGUAUUGAUCGGAAACUCAAAUACAUGUGUGGAUACAUAGACAACAACCGGGGUAAGAAAUCGGGACAACAUAGGUCUUCGUGCGUUUAGGAAAUUUUUUGUUUCCCAUGCGACGUUCCCCAAUACGACCCUCCCGGACUCCUAGAGAUUUCUUCAAGACAAAUGGAACUUGAUUCUAUAAUUGGUUGUCUUCCUAGCUUGUCAUGGCAAACAACCGGGGUAAGAAAUCGGAGUGUCCGUGGCAAUGCAUUUCUCAUGACCCAAACCACAAUAUGGGGGCAUCGUUGACCAUGUUGGAGGCGUUAGCGAGUUUGCUGCCUCAACGGCUCAACCCUGCACGUCCUCCACCUUUCCAGCUUCCGUCCUAGAUCGAUGACAUUGGACGAUGUCGGAUCCUUUGCGUUGUAUUUCCACCUCAUAGGCUGGUUUAUUUAGCGGGGGCAUCAUCAAGAGGGACUUGUGGAAGAUGGCGGUUGUGGUGUUGGGAUUUAUUUAGCAAUGAUGGCAGGGUGAGUGAUGGGAGGCUGAUGGCCGUGGUUGCGGUAGUUGACUCUUUCGAGUGUACACGGGAUCGUUUCAGGUUGUUUGUUGUGGAUAAGUUGGACCUGAGAUGGAGGCCGAGAGGCAGCAAGAAAAAUUUCACGGUGCGCCGUUGAUAGAAGCAAGAAGAACAAAACGUUGGUACUCCAAGUAAUUUAGAUGUAUUUUGCUAUUUCUUUAAGGUCGUUUUUAUAAGUGAAUGAGUUUCCAUGAUAUAUGGCCUUUGCCCUAUCCACACACAAAGUACGAAUUUGUAGAGCCAAGAGGUGAAAAAGUAGGCAAGAGAUGAUAUGUGGGACAUGAUGUUUUUGCACCCCAGCUCAUAUGAGCUCGGAUGAACAGUAAAUUCAAAAAAUAUUAAAAAAAAUGUUCAAACAAAUCUGAAUUUAUUUUUGGGCAAACUUUGAUAAAUGUUCUAAGUGCUCGUUAAAUUUCAUCAUGGAAUCACAUUUUUAGAAGUCGUGGUAAAAAAACAAAAUCAAAACUCUGAAAAUGCUACUUUCAAAAGCAUUUUGGAGCACUAGUUUUGUUUUUCUGCCGCGACUUCAAAAAAUAUGAUUUCGUACUGAAAUUUUGCAAGCUAUUAAAACAUUUAUCAAAGUUUGCUAUAAAAAAAUUCAGAUUUUUUUAAACAGUUUAAAAAUAUUUUACGAAUUUACUUUUCACCCAAGCUCAUUUGAGCUCGGGUGUAGAAGAGCACUUUCCUGAUAUGUGGCACUUCCUUCAUAUAUACUUACAUGGUCUACGAGAUAUCGAUUGCGGCAAGUUAUGCCGGUGGGUGUUGCGGCAGGUAGCAUCCCCGGGACUGUUUAAGUUUGGGGCAAUAAUGC
rnacentral:lncRNA from 1 species